AUAAUAAUUUGUUGAAUUCCAGCCUCCGGUACACAUGCAAAGAUGGUUACAAAAGGAAAGCUGGGACAUCCAGCCUCAUUGUGUGUGUAAUGGACGAAGUCACCAAAACACUCCAUUGGACAGAGCCAAAUCUAUGUUGUAUUAGGGACCCCGCUCUACCUCCUUUAACUUCCAGCCCCAAACAGACCACAUCAGCACCUAGGACAGAGGCGACCAAUCUUGUCAGCAGAGAAUCAAAGACUUUUACACCAUCUAAACCACCAGUAACCAGAGUAACUGCAGAGGUUACCACAGUCCCAGUCAUGGCCUCCACACCAUCCUAUGAAAGGGAGACCACCUCACCACUAGCAGGCUCCGUCUCACAGCUCAGGACUGACAAGCCUUCACGGGAAACACUUGCAACAGCAACAACUGAGAUCAGGUCAUCGAAAGCGCCUGGUUGCGUGACCAUGGAAGACAUAACACAAUGGCACACUACAGCCACCCAGGACACACACACGUCCCAGCUCUGGACGGAUAAGCCAUUGCUGAAAACAGUUACAACAGAAGGAGAUUGGUCAACAGCAGGACCAGCCAGUGUGACCACAGGAGACUCAACACAGCUUCUCAC
rnacentral:lncRNA from 1 species